rnacentral:sRNA from 4 species
CGAGAGAACGUUGCGUCAGCAACGGCCCGCAGGGCGAGCCACGCAGUGGCGAGUCAUCCUCUAUCACCGACCA